rnacentral:misc_RNA from 1 species
UCUUUUCUUUUGAUAGGAGAGUUUUUAAAACCAGUGUUAUUUUUGUAAGUUUAAGAGAAGUUUGUGUAUUGAAUUUUUUAUUUUUAAUAUUAAAGAGCUUUGUUAAACUUAGACUUAAGUUUAGGUCAUUUUGGGGGUUUAGCUCAGUUGGCUAGAGCAUCGGCUUUGCAAGCCGAGGGUCAAGGGUUCGAGCCCCUUAACCUCCAUUGGGCUUAUGUCCUAAAUCGUAAUUAAGUAUGUUUUUAAGUAACUUUGUUAAAGUAAUUGUUGGAAUGUGAAACAGAGGAAGUUAAAAUUUCUGGGUUAAGUUGAGAUCUGUUGAUAUUAAGAAGAAUCUCUAGAAGCAAAAGCAAGCUUUCGAUAAAACCCGAAGUUGUUUCGCUAAAGUGCAAGGAUUAAACAGGAUUGUAUUUUCCAGUAGCCUAUUUUAUAAACGAUCUGCAUUUAGUAAAUAGUUUUUAGUUAAGAAAUAAUGUAGAUUGCUAAGUGUGAUGCC